UGAAGAGAAAAAGAAAAAGGAUGAGUUUUGGUGGGUUAUGAACUAUAUUUGGACCCACAAUGAUAAAUGGUCAUAAAGAAACAAGCAGCAGCUAGAUUCUCCCACAAACCUCUUCCAUUUUUACAUCUAUGUCCUCCACAUACCUAUAAAUUCCUUCCAUUUACACUCACAUCCCCAAUUCCUUGACUUUUCAGGCAGCCAAAAGUUGUUCUUCACUCCUCUUCUGAUAUUCCCUAUUCUCGUUUAUGAUCCAACUUUGAAAUUCUGGCAUCUCUCUUAAAGGAUCUUGGUUUGAGUUGUUUCUCCUUGGUGUUGCUGUAUUGAAGUUGAUUUUCAAGUGGUUUUCCAGCUGUCUUGGUUGAGAUAUCUAUAAUGGAAGAUGGGGAGCUUGAAUCCUCGAACCCGGAAGUGUUUUCGAGUUCGAAUGCCAUUGAGCUUCCGAGUAGUUGCUCAAUGGAUAGCUUCUUUGAUGAAAUUCUGAAGGAUACUCAUGCUUGUACACAUGCUCAUACUUGCAACCCUCCUGGCCCUGAUUAUUCACAUACACAUACCUGUUUUCAUGUUCAUACGAAAAUUGUUUCUUCCCCCACCGAAGAAAAGGUUUCCACUGAUGAUACAGCGGAUUCUGUAGAUAAAAAGAAUAAGAAGCGCCCAUUAGGUAAUCGUGAAGCAGUUCGUAAAUACCGGGAGAAGAAAAAGGCAAGAGCUGCCUCAUUGGAAGAUGAAGUUGUGAGAUUGAGAGCCCUGAAUCAGCAACUGUUGAAGAGGUUGCAAGGUCAGGCUGCAUUGGAGGCUGAGAUUUCUAGGCUCAAAUGUUUGCUUGUGGAUAUUCGGGGAAGAAUUGAAGGGGAGAUUGGAAACUUUCCAUAUCAGAAACCAACCAAUUCAAAUCCGCCCAAUCAGAAUGUGUCUGGUAGUUACAUGAUAAAUCCAUGUAAUGUGGAAUGCAAUGAUCAGGCAUAUUGCCUUCAUCCAGGGGAUGAUGGAAAAAGUGGAGAGAGCGCUUUGUUGAAUGGGCAAAGUUUUAGUGCAUGUGACUUUGAAAAUCUUCAGUGCUUGGCAAAUCAAAACACGGGAGCAAAGGAACCUCCUGACUGUGGACUGGGAAACACAAUUGCUAACGUUAAUUGUGCAGAACUAAAUCCGAAGAAAGGUGUAUAUGAAAGACUCUAUCCAAGUUAUGUCUUAUAAAAGUCUGAACUUGAUGUUGCCUGUCGAAGCAAAAUCUGACUGGCACAAGAAGAUCUCUCUACCGUCUUAGGAGGAGGGGUCUGUAAGGCAACGAAAAAUGGGAAAAGCUGAUCUCAGAUAGUAUAUGCAUCUUUUUUGUGUAUAUAAAGCCUGCCACGUCAGUUCCUGUUCUGUUCAAUGCAGCAUCAACAUUGUCUUUCAGGUUUUCUCUUAUGCAACACGUUCACCCUCUUCUAGGUUGUUUGAGAUGGUUAUUUAUGUUGAAUGAGAAAGCAAAGCAGAUGCAUAAGCAUGCCUUUAAGAAGCUAGAAAACAACUAUUUAGAAUUAUCAACCUUGAUAGUUUAAGAUAGCCACGACACGCCAUGCAUAUAUUUAGCUGUGAGUUUCUGGGAUAUUGUUAGUGGGUUAGCAAACUUUACCUCUUUCUAAGUCAAGAAAUUUCAUGGAUUAUUGGAAUUACAGAACUAGGAAAUGGUGGGAUUUCAGUACCUGAGCCAUAUCAAAACACCUGAAGGAAACUUAGAUCUGCCAUUCAAUGUGCUAGAGAAAUUUGAGUAACAUACAGUCUAAGAAGAAAAGUGACAAGGAAUCAAUGGAAACGGAGGACUUUUGUUUACUUCCAUUCUGAGUAAUCCAUGUCGAUCAAGUGGGGUUUCACCAUCGUUGGUUAAAAAUGCUUGUGGCUGUACUUUUGAGGUCUCUGAUGAAGUAGGUAAGGUUUGAGAGGAGAUAUAAUUCAGAAGAUAAGGCUUUUAAUUAUGUUAUUUUAUUCUGAAAUGUGAACCUUUUGUAAUAUCAUGGGAGAUUUUCAACAUGCAAAUUGCAAAUGAAAAAUUCUUGGAACUUCUGUCACAUGUCUUGUAUAACUAGCCAUCUUAAUGAAAUAUGGAAGAUGAUCAUAAUCUUCCAGAUCUUUUUUCGUCUUCGCUAAA